rnacentral:rRNA from 1 species
CAUGCCGCGUGUGUGAAAAGGCCUUCGGGUUGUAAAGCACUUUUGUCCGGAAAGAAAACGUCCUGGUUAAUACCUGGGGCGGAUGACGGUACCGGAAGAAUAAGCACCGGCUAACUACGUGCCAGCAGCCGCGGUAAUACGUAGGGUGCGAGCGUUAAUCGGAAUUACUGGGCGUAAAGCGUGCGCAGGCGGUUUUGUAAGACAGGCGUGAAAUCCCCGGGCUUAACCUGGGAAUUGCGCUUGUGACUGCAAGGCUAGAGUGCGUCAGAGGGGGGUAGAAUUCCACGUGUAGCAGUGAAAUGCGUAGAGAUGUGGAGGAAUACCGAUGGCGAAGGCAGCCCCCUGGGACGUGACUGACGCUCAUGCACGAAAGCGUGGGGAGCAAACA